UACGGAGGGUGCAAGCGUUAUCCGGAAUCACUGGGUUUAAAGGGCGCGUAGGCGGCAUCGUAAGUCAGAAGUGAAAGUUUGCGGCUUAACCGUAAAAUUGCUUUUGAUACUGCAAUGCUUGAAUCAGGUUGAGGUUGGCGGAAUGUGGCAUGUAGCGGUGAAAUGCUUAGAUAUGCCAUAGAACACCGAUUGCGAAGGCAGCUGACUGGACCUGUAUUGACGCUGAGGCGCGAAAGCGUGGGGAGCGAACAGG
rnacentral:rRNA from 1 species